UUAGAACUUUGGAUUAAUAAUUGGUGGAGUACCAGGCAAUCCGAAACUCUCUUAACUGAUAUUCUAGAGAAAAGGAUUCUAGAAAGAUGCGUAGAAUUAGAAGAACUUUCUCUCUUGGACGAGAUAAUAAAAGGGAAACUAAAGACACGUGUACAAAAACCUCCUACAUCACAGAAGGAAACAAUAUUAAUAGUAAGUAGUCUAGUUAAAUUUGUUUUUUCAUUGCAUCCACUUAAAUUCAAUAAAGUAAAAUAA
rnacentral:rRNA from 1 species